rnacentral:lncRNA from 1 species
GCAAAGCAUUGAAAGUUAGUCCCUCUUGAAAACUGAUGCCCUUGUGUCCAAUUCAAAACUGGGGUACUAGUAGCAAGAUUCUGAACUAUCCCGUUUCGAUCUCGCAUAUCCCACCUGCAAAGCCGAUUAUCGUCGAGUCCUAAAAAUGUUGCCCCCGAUGGAUCCAAUUGUGCUCCUUUGCUAUCAUUAGCAAUAUCCCUCAUUGUAAUUUCAGUUCCAUCUUUCCCGAACUUCCAUUCAGUAACAAUCUUCCCAGUCUCGAUAUCUAGCUGAUGAAGCCCUGUUGUAUGAGGCUUCCCUUCGGUUUUAGGACUCAUUAGCAACAUGUUCGUCUCGGCUCUCAUUAAAAGUGCCUUCCUC